UUCUCGCGUCUCUCAAAAUUUUAACCCCUAGGAUCCUAGGCCAACAGGAAAGAUUUACUAGAGUAGGAUGGUCGGACACAGAUGAUCGGCCAUACCAAGGCUUUCUAUCCCGUGUGUAGUCCGAGACUCCUUUGUAGAUUGGCUCCCGUGGCCGCGCUUCGACGGAUUAUUAAUUAUCAUUGGCAAGUAAAUGUAGCGUAAAUUUGUUGGUACGAUGACGAUCGAUCGAUAGCCGUUUACGCGAGAAAUGUUCCGUCACACCAAGCGGAGAAUUAAUUCGACGAAUAUAUUAAGCGGUAAAAGCCAACGUGUUCUUGCUGCUCCUCCUUCUCCUAAUAUCGAUCGAAACUUUUGAACAUUUCUCGUCCAGUUAGGAAAAGUCGAAGAACAUCGUCGGAGGGCGCAAAAUGAAAACUUUAUCGUUUCGGGUCUAUUCCACUUGUUCUCUUUCACACCGACGUUUGACGAUCUUGCUUUUAGAUAGAUCAGCGGUUACGUCUCCAGCUAGCAUUAUGGCCAUCUAUUAACGGGGUCAACUAGCGAGGUAGCUACUGGCGCCGCCUCAAAAACAACUAAAAAUUCGAUAGUUGAACUCUAUAAGUUUUAUAACCUGAGGACGGGGACAGGAGGAGAAGAGAAGGAUGUGUCUCGCAGGAAAAUGAUCGUUUUCAUAACUCAUCGGACAGUAGAGUAGAGGGUGAUGUGUCGUACCAAAGGGGAUGACGGAUCAAUGGAAAUAUUUCCUUGUUAUGAGAGGAUUGGCGAGGAUUAGUGAGAAAGAUUUAGACUCAUCCGAAAGUCAGCGUUCGUUAAACGCCUAAAUCCAGAUAUUCAUAUAUCCUUGUCUUGUAUCGUCCUAAGCAGUAAAGCAGUAGUUUGAUCCAAUGAUUAUGUGGAAAUGCGACAAAGUAAAAAUGUUGCUUAAAUAAAGAAAAGAAGAAAAAGAUUAAAAAGAGUAUUGACUCGCGGGAUAGAUAGAUCCGUUAGAUCGGAGGAAAUACAACGUAAGAUAUAAUUACGAGUAGGCAGCUUUGGCAUUAGUUUAUGGUACUCGAGGGACAGACGAAGGGUUGUGACCAUGUUUCUAGGGCUCUGCUAACGGUUUCCCAGUUGUAUAACCGACAGCUAUCAAGCCGCGGUCGAUCUACGAUAAAACAAUGUACAAUUUUACAAUUUGGAAAACAAAAUAUUUGAACAAAUCUGCAAUGGAUAAGGUAUGACGUUAUACCGUGAAUGGAUAUCUUUUGGAAGAAUUAAUAGCGCCUAUAUAAGCAGCAAGCUGUAUCGGCGCAUCGUACAUCGAAUUUAUAUUCUCUUUGUCCUUAUCCGACUUUUUCCAAUCGAUGGCAUAUAAUUUGCCCCUACGCAGAAAAUACAUUCAUUCUAAAGUAAGCUAAUCGACAUGAGACAGAGUUUACCAAAAUAGUGGUAAAGCUUCAUUAAGUUCCAUAAAGCCAUUAUUUUACCAAUGCAACAAUUUUUUACCAUGGAACAAUAAAUAGAUUACCUGAACGAAGCUAUACAAUCGAUCUUUCCCUUAUAAUACAAAUCCUUGUGAGAAACAAACGAUUCUACCGCUCUAAUAUCUUCCAAUUCAUUUAUUAUAUCGCUCAAACUAUCAUAAGCCGGGUAAAUAUGUUUUGGUAUGUCGACUUUUUUCCCUAAUAAAGUAUCUUCUAU